GCAGUGAAUCCGGAGGCCUUGGGUAGUAGCCCGUGGUGCUGGGUUUAUCCGGGGAAAAUCUCAGGAACUUGUAAUCCAGCGGAAGAUCUAAGGAAAUGGUUCUCCAUUGACUAGAUUCCAAAUGCUUGUGGAAUACUACAAAACUACGAGCUUCGUUUCUGAAUGGAAGACGACGGGGUCCCAGGUGCUGUGUCUGUGUGCCUGACCAACAAGGCCGAUGACCUAUACUACAGCGUGGACAGUCUGUGAGAAGAUAAAUGGUAUAAACUAGGACUGGUACUGGUCUGAGACCAGUAUUACACUGCGAGACAGGACACUAGGGUAGAUUUGCCGCCCAUCCCAAAUAUUAUGGCAUCAUCCUGUAUCAGAAAACAAAAUUCUGUGAUCCAAGAAUACAUGGGAUUUGUCCCAUUUUCCCAUACACAAUUCAUACCUCCUGCUCAGCUAAUUGUACCAUGUCUAUUUUUGUGUAAUUUUUGUGUGACGUAAACCAAUCUAAACAUCUGAACCCCAGAUUUAAAGGAGACCAUGCUGAUCAAGUACAUUCGUCUUGGUGAUACUUCAGCACACAAGUUUCCAUAAGAAUGAGAGAACAUUUUAGUGGAAUCUGGUGUUAGUGGCUUAGCCUCACCGCCGUCACAACUAUUGGGUACACAGGUCAUUUGGCGGCUCAUUCCUCUUAGACCUCUCAGGCUGGGGGUUUAAACCCUGUCAUCACUCUGGGUAUGUAUGCGCCUUUCCUGUGGGACUCGUGCUUCUCAUGCAAUUCCGUGAAUUAGUGUCUGCAAACUGCACAAACUGCGUGACUGUGUGCGUCUCUGCCCUGUAGUGCACCGGUUCCCAAACUGUGGUCCGCACACUCAUCUGUAACCGAUUUUCCAGCAGGCUACAGAGCGCUGAAGGGUUUUGCAGAGAAGAGAGCCGUGUCUAGGGCAGAGCUAUAGGCCGAGGUCCAGCACAGGGCCGCCAUUCUGCAUGCCUGCAGGUUACUGAUGGCUAUAUUGUAAGUGGACAGGGUUGAAAAGGCCACAGCAUGAAGAGUCGCCCCUCCCAAGCACCCUUGAACACUGGGGGCAUUCAGCAGCCGGCCCUGAGGGACACAGAGGGCAGGGGCGUGUGGUUGUGGACCGACAUGGACGGGGGACACGGACGUCCUUCCCUGAGACUCUUGUGGCCCCCACCCCAUUUUACGUCCUCCAAUUCAGCAGCUGGCCUUCUUCACUCGUGCUGGGUUUAAAUAUGCUCGUCCUCAUUUUAGUGCAAGGGUCUAUGUAUCUCUAUUAAUCUGCCAGCACAAACUGAGGUUAAGGGACAAUUAGGGGCCAUGUUAUACUGUCAGUGCUAUACUACCUAUGCUAUACUAUCCAAGUUUACUGUCAGUGCUAUACUACCUAUGCUAUACUAUCCAAGUUUACUGUCAGUACUAUACUACCUACGCUAUACUAUCCAAGCUUACUGUAAGUGCUACACUACCCAUGCUAUACUGUACAUGUUAUACUACCCAUGCUAUAAUCAUGGUUUACUGUCCAUGCUAUACUGUCAGUGCUAUACUGUCCAUGUUAUACUACCCAUGAUAUGCUGUCCAUGCUAUACUACAUAUGCUAUACUGCCCAUGCCCAUAUACGCGUUUGUCCAGUGGUUACGGUACUGUUUCGUAAAAUACCCAUUAGAUUUUCCAGUCACACUGAUCUUUAGAAUGAUUUUUCCACAAAUGUACUUUGUUAAGAGUUUGUUAAUGAGUAGCAUGAUCAGUAAUGAGGCCGCUUUCAUCACCAUUAGUCAGUAAGGGGAGACGACACACUGCCCUUUGGUGACUCGGUCCUGUCCUACCUUCGGGUUGGCUUUCCCAGUCAUCGUCUUCAGUAGCUCGUGGAGAUGGGGCCAGUUGCCCUGGGAGUACCAGCCCGGCUUGUCCAGUGAUGGCAGCCCCUCGCUUUCUUCCACGUCAUUCACUGCGAGGAAGAGCGACGUGUCGUGAGGCAAGGCCUGCAGGGAGGAACUCGCUGCAGACCCGCCUGACAGAGGGCGCCUCUGUAGAAGGCCUUGGAGGAGACUGCAGCUGAAAUAACAUCUCGCGACCUGAGCAGCCGUCCAGCGAAGCAGCACAGACCUGCUCUGCUUCCUGCACCAGAUGCCACCAUGUAGCUCGAGAGAUGAAGCUGCCGACUUUCUCUACUACAGUGGCAAACGCAACUACGCAAGACGGCAAAUGGGAUUCUACGAUUCCGGGAUUGGAAAAAGCUAAUGAAGUACUGAACAAUGAAAUAAAAAAAGUCAAAACAGCUUAAUGGAGUAUUUGGCUACAAUGAAAGAGAGAGGACAAUGCAACAAACAUGAAUAAAAACUCAACAUACAACAUACAACUCAAAUGCAACAUACGAUUUAAAACUAUGGCAAGUCUCUUGAACAAAUUUACUUUGGAUUUACCGAGAAGCGGCUGUCAUUAGAUUGGGUAGCUGGAAGAUGACAAUGAGGCCCACUGGCCUCGGAAAAAAGAUGCGUAUAACGUUGGGAAUUCUCCUCGCCCUGCGGAUACAGAUCCUGUUACGCAUGUGGGAUACGUCCUACUAACCCUGUCAGUGCAUUUGCCGAUGCUUCCCCAGUCUCCAUUCCCUGUAGCUACUAUGGACCCACAUCUGCAUUCCAGCUCAUUCAUGAAUGCUCCUAUCUGUCCCUCACACUGUGUGGUACAAAAAUAAAAAUAAUCUCAAGUG